ACAAAUUCAGAGGUGCCUUAACAUAAAAUUAAGGUUAUAGUGAACUUGUAACCAUCCGUCUCUGCUUGGUACAGCCCCAGUUCAUGUGACGGUGCUCUGGUGUGUGUGGGACCUCGUCGUUGGCGUGCCAGAGGAGGAGAGAGGAGGCAGAUGGAGAUGUGUAUCCUGUGUCACGAAGCGCAGGAGAUCCUACCUGAUGGCACCGCCAUGGUGCUCGCUGCCUUUGUCCAACGCUCUACGGUCAUGUCCAAGAACCGCAAAAGACCCCCUCACAAUCCAGAGAGCUAUGAUCCCCUCUUCAUGCACCCUGACCUGUCCUUUGGUACCCAUACCGACAGCUGUGGCCACAUCAUGCACUCUCUCUGCUGGCAGAGAUACUUUGAGACACUCCAGAGUCAGGAUGCUCAGUGGCUGCAUGAGCAAACCACUUGCGAUGUAGUGAAUGGGAAGUACUUGUGUCCACUCUGUAAGUGUCGCAGUAACACUCAUUCCUCUCCUGCCCCUCACUGAGACCACCUGCAGGUACUCGCAUACAAACUUGUGCUUGUGAUUAUUCUAAGUGGAGUUGCUCUGAAUCCGGACCGCUUAAUAUUUUAACCAUUGCACUGGCGAAUUAGUUGUAGUGGCUCUGUAACCAAUGCAAACUUACCUAUGAAAUGCCAUGGAAGGGUACAGAAUGACACUGUAACAGUGCAUACCCCAUUCCAUUAUUCCUCUUAUUUAUUUAUAUAUUUUAUAGCAAGGGAAUUGAUAUCUUUAGCUGAAUUGCAUGUCUUGCCAUGUUGAGAUCAGAGUAUAGAGUUUCUGCUUGUGUAAGAUGGCUAAUCCACUGCUGUUGCAUGAUAUUUAGUCACACUGACUCAGUUUAUUACAGUAAAUUUGCCUGUUGUCCCAUUGACGUGACAUUUUCUCUGGUUAAAUAGUAAAAUGCAUGCAUGUUUGUAGUUACAGCAAUAGUGAGCAGCCAGGUCUGGCUCAUUGGCUGAAUACAACGUAUAUAAGCAGAUCAGAGCCUUGCACUCUGCUCAUAAGAGGGCCAAGCCAACAAGUGAGUCUCAUCAUAUAUAGUACGUGUGCUCCUUAUUUGUGUGUGUAUGUGUGCACAUGCAGUCAUAUUGUGGUGUUUGUCUUUUAAAUGCUGGUGAGACUGAGACUGUGGAGGACUCUCCUCCUCCUGAGAGUUUCAGGCUGGACCACACACCAGUCAACCCUUAUUCAAGCUCCAUAAGGGAGAUGCUGAUGACAUUUGGGACCGCAACUUAUAAAGUUGGCCUUAAGGUGCACCCUAAUGAGCAGGACCCCCGUGUGCCUAUCAUGUGCUGGGGCAGCUGUUCUUGCACCAUCCAGUCUAUAGAGAGAUUAUUGGUAGAUGAGGAGAACCCUUGUUUGGAAGUUUACCCUGUAGACAGGUAUGACAACCCAACUUAUUGUCAUAUCUCAGCCCAGCCAGGACUCGGUUUCCCGAGAAGCAACACCCACUUCUAACAUGGCCGCUGAGGACUACACUUCCCACACACGCAUGCGCUCACCUCCCCGGAGUUCUGAUCUCACACACCUGCAGCCAAUCACCUUGUCCACUCUCCACGGCUUAUUAAGAGACUUUGGAUCAGAGACACUUUGUGAAGUAAAUGUUCAGCAGACUAGUUUCUCUGUCGUUCUCCAAGCGUUACCUACCGUGUUUAUUCGAUAAGUGACUUUGGCCUCUGUCUUGCCCCGUUUGUUUUGUUUGCAUGAUCGCCUGACCCUCGCUUGCUUCUUGACUAUGGACUGUGUUCACCCCUCUGGAUUAUUCUGCCUGAACCUGCCGCCCGCUUCUGCUUCUGUAUUCCCCACGGAGACUAUUUGAGUUCCCUGGCUCAGUUUGGCUCUGCAUGCUGGACUGUCUCCUCUCACUCCUCUGUGCAAAAUCACUUCAUGUGACUGUUGGCAGCACUUGUUCUUGAUCCCUAGGUGGAAAGUUCCCCCUGCAUUCUGGAUGUGGACAUGUUCCACUUAUUGGGGAGUCUGGUGCUGUCCUAUUCAGCAUUGUACUGCUUAGACUCCUCAGGGCUUAGUGCGGAUACUGCACACCUGCAUCUCUUCCACUUGGUCAUUGUUGCUCACCUGGUCCAGAUCCUCCUCACCUCUGUGCCAGGUUAGAGCAUAUUCUACUUGGAGCACAUACAACUUAACAGUAGAUGGUGAUCUGUGUUAUGUUGUCAUUCGUGUGUGUUUAUUAACCCUCGUUCUUACAACUGAGUAAUAACGUGUUUGUCAGUAUGAAUGUUCUUUUGGGAUGUUUUUAUUGAGUGUGCUGUCAGGCACAGUUGUGUGGGAGUCAAUAAUGGGGCUGUCAAAGUAAUUCACUGCAGCCAACAGCAUUAGAUUUGUGUAGGG